rnacentral:rRNA from 1 species
AACGAACGCUGGCGGCAGGCCUAACACAUGCAAGUCGAGCGCGCCUUUCGGGGUGAGCGGCGGACGGGUUAGUAACGCGUGGGAAUAUGCCCAAAGGUACGGAAUAGCCUCUGGAAACGGAGAGUAAUACCGUAUGUGCCCUUCGGGGGAAAGAUUUAUCGCCUUUGGAUUAGCCCGCGUUAGAUUAGGUAGUUGGUGGGGUAAUGGCCUACCAAGCCUACGAUCUAUAGCUGGUUUUAGAGGAUGAUCAGCAACACUGGGACUGAGACACGGCCCAGACUCCUACGGGAGGCAGCAGUGGGGAAUCUUGGACAAUGGGGGCAACCCUGAUCCAGCCAUGCCGCGUGAGUGAUGAAGGCCUUAGGGUCGUAAAGCUCUUUCGCCUGUGAAGAUAAUGACGGUAGCAGGUAAAGAAACCCCGGCUAACUCCGUGCCAGCCGCCGCGGUAAUU